ACAGCGACAGCUCAUCUGGUGGAGCAUCUGCCCGGUAUGCGGAGGGUCGCCGCUUCGAUUCCGGUUCGCGGUG
rnacentral:tRNA from 1 species